rnacentral:rRNA from 1 species
GUCUAUGGCCAUGCUACCCUGAACAAGCCAGAUCCCAUCUGAUCUCAGAAGCUAACUAGGGUCAGACCUAGUUAGUACUUUGAUGGGAGACCACCUAGGAAGACCAGGUGCUGUAGGUG